CCUACGGGCGGCUGCAGUGGGGAAUAUUGCGCAAUGGGCGAAAGCCUGACGCAGCGACGCCGCGUGAGGGAUGAAGGUCUUCGGAUCGUAAACCUCUGUCAGCAGGGAAGAACGGUCACUGUGCUAAUCAGCAGUGAAUUGACGGUACCUGCAAAGGAAGCACCGGCUAACUCCGUGCCAGCAGCCGCGGUAAUACGGAGGGUGCGAGCGUUGAUCGGAUUUACUGGGCGUAAAGCGCUCGUAGGCGGUAUGUCAAGUCAAGGGUGAAAUCCCCGCGCUCAACGUGGGAACUGCCUUUGAAACUGGCAGACUGGAGUGUGUGAGAGGAUAGUGGAAUUCCAGGUGUAGGAGUGAAAUCCGUAGAUAUCUGGAGGAACAUCAGUGGCGAAGGCGACUAUCUGGCACGUAACUGACGCUGAGGAGCGAAAGCGUGGGUAGCAAACAGGAUUAGAUACCCCAGUAGUC
rnacentral:rRNA from 1 species